rnacentral:rRNA from 1 species
GACGAACGCUGGCGGCGUGCUUAACACAUGCAAGUCGAACGGUGAAGCGCCUUCCUUUUUGGUGGGUGUGGAUGAGUGGCGAACGGGUGAGUAACACGUGAGUAACCUGUCCCCUUCUUCUGGAUAACCGCAUGAAAGUGUGGCUAAUACGGGAUAUUCUGGGUCUGUCGCAUGAUGGGUCUGGGAAAGAUAUUGUUUCGGUGGGGGAUGGGCUCGCGGCCUAUCAGCUUGUUGGUGGGGUGAUGGCCUACCAAGGCGGUGACGGGUAGCCGGCCUGAGAGGGUGGACGGUCACACUGGGACUGAGACACGGCCCAGACUCCUACGGGAGGCAGCAGUGGGGAAUAUUGCACAAUGGGCGCAAGCCUGAUGCAGCGACGCCGCGUGAGGGAUGGAGGCCUUCGGGUUGUGAACCUCUUUCGCCAGUGAAGCAGGCCUGCCUCGUUUGUGGGUGGGUUGACGGUAGCUGGAGAAGAAGCGCCGGCUAACUACGUG